AUCAACGUAGCUUAAAUAAAGCGCAACACUGAAGUUGUUAAGAUGGGCCCUAGAAAGCUCCGUAGGUA
rnacentral:tRNA from 1 species